rnacentral:rRNA from 1 species
UAGGGAAUCUUCGGCAAUGGACGGAAGUCUGACCGAGCAACGCCGCGUGAGUGAAGAAGGUUUUCGGAUCGUAAAGCUCUGUUGUAAGAGAAGAACGAGUGUGAGAGUGGAAAGUUCACACUGUGACGGUAACUUACCAGAAAGGGACGGCUAACUACGUGCCAGCAGCCGCGGUAAUACGUAGGUCCCGAGCGUUAUCCGGAUUUAUUGGGCGUAAAGCGAGCGCAGGCGGUUAGAUAAGUCUGAAGUUAAAGGCUGUGGCUUAACCAUAGUACGCUUUGGAAACUGUUUAACUUGAGUGCAGAAGGGGAGGGUGGAAUUCCAUGUGUAGCCGGUGAAAUGCGUAGAUAUAUGGAGGAACACCGGUGGCGAAAGCGGCUCUCUGGUCUGUAACUGACGCUGAGGCUCGAAAGCGUGGGGAGUAAACAGGAUUAGAUACCCUGGUAGUCCACGCCGUAAACGAUGAGUGCUAGGUGUUGGGUCCUUUCCGGGAUUCAGUGCCGCAGCUAACGCAUUAAGCACUCCGCCUGGGGAGUACGACCGCAAGGUUG